GGUGGCGCUGGAAUAGGCGGUGAUGCCGCCGUUGACGCUGGCGUCGCCGAUACCGCCGUUGGUGCCCGUGCUCCGAUCCCAGGCGCGGAUG
rnacentral:tRNA from 1 species